UCCACACUCCAGACAUGUAUAGGGUUUCUCUCCCGUGUGGGCCCGUUUAUGGAGGAUCAGGUAACUGCUGUUCUUGUAGCUCUUUCCACACUCCAGGCAUUUAUAGGGUUUUUCUCCUGUGUGGAUCCGUUUAUGAGAAGUGAGAGAACUCUUUACACUGAAGCUCUUUUCACACUCCGUGCAUUUAUAGAGGUUUCUCUCCCGUGUGGAGCCGUUUAUGGAGGAUCAGGUAAUUGCUGUUUUUGUAGCUCUUUCCACACUCCAUGCAUUUAUAGGGUUUUUCUCCUGUGUGGACCCGUU